AAACACCCAACGGUGGUACCAACUUGCCAUUUGCCAACAAAAUCCAAAACCCAAAAAUAAAUAAAAGUGAAAUGUUAGAAAAAUAUAAAAACGACACAUGUUCUCAAGCACAAUGUAAUUCCAAUCCAAAUACAACAACUCACUGAUAAUAGAGAACGUUUAAUAAUAAUGCACCAUUCGACUCCGUCAGCACUGUCGUCCACUCUACCAUCAAUGUCCGUUU
rnacentral:lncRNA from 1 species